rnacentral:rRNA from 1 species
CCCUUAGAUGUUCUGGGCUGCACGCGUGCUACACUGAUAUUGCCAAUAUGUCAUUCUUAUCCGAAAUGGAUUGGGUAAUCAAGUAAUGAAAUUUCAUGCUUGGAAUCGGUAAUUGCAAUUUUAUCGUGAACGAGGAAUUCCUAGUAAGCACUAGUCAUCAGCUAAUGUUGAUUAUGUCCCUGCCCUUUGUACACACCGCCCGUCGCUACUACUGAUUGGGUGUUCAAGUGAGAUGCUUAGACCCUUAUUGCAUGGUUCAUUAUUGUGCUCCGAAAGGAAAAAGUUUCAAGCUUGAGUGUCUAGAGGAAGUAAAAGUCGUAACA